UUUUCAGUAGUCGAGGAACAUUGGAGARCAAGGGCAGUCUAUCCAAAUGACCUUUCCUUUAAUUGUACCUCCUGCUCAUUCAGAUUAACAAGGCUCUACUGUCCCUAAAAACAGGUCAAUGCUAAUCCUAUCUGUCCUUUAAUCUGCAGAAUACAUUAGGGUGUAAAUUAUUGUAAUCUCGGGGCAGCUGAGAUUUACCUACUAAAAAUCUGUCAUGGAUUAUUUGCUUUUUGUUUUCUCACAAAAUAAAAACAUUGAUGAAAAUCGAUACAGUCUACAGACAGAAGAUGGAGAACCUUGCCAGUGAAUUGACCUAUGUGUUUCAUAUGUGAAGUGUAAAAUGAAGGAUUGUGGGGAACGGUGGAUGUUCAGGGAAACCCUUUUGGAAACUAAAGAUUUAGAAGUCUCCUCAAAGAAAAAUAUUUUGGUGAAUGAUUUGAAAAAAGCAGACAGCCAAGGCGUGCUGACUUGCCUGGUUGAGGGAGGAAUUUGAAGCUGAGCAGACAGGGUGAAGUACUAAGGGAACGACAGAAGGAAACAAAGGCAGAACAGAAAAGUGAUGUCUCAAGGUUUGAAGAAGGACYGUACUGGGUCAGGGUGUUGGACGGUCUACCUUUUCCAUUUUUUCUCAGCUGCAGAGGUUGAACUUCCCUCAGGAAAAAUUGGGUGUGAGAGAAGAAAAAAAUUGGGAAAAACUCACAAGGGAUACGUCAAAGCUUUACAGUUUGCAAAUAAUGUGAUUACAGAUUCUUAA
rnacentral:lncRNA from 1 species